CCGACCACUGGUUGGAGGAGACCACCUCCUUCGCCUCCGGCGUGAAGUCCGCCACCGCUUGGUCCAAGGCCGAGUGGCUGGUC
rnacentral:tRNA from 1 species